CUGGAGAUGAUGCAUAUUUAACACCUGAGUGUCCAUGAAGGUCUUUGUAUUCAUACUGUCUGAUCCAG